rnacentral:rRNA from 1 species
GACACCUCCUGGAAACGGGGAUUAAUACCGCAUAAUAUGCCGAGGUCGCAUGACUUUGGUAUUAAAGCAGCAAUGCACUUAGAGAUGAGUGUGCGUCCCAUUAGGUAGUUGGUGAGGUAACGGCUCACCAAGCCUAUGAUGGGUAGCCGGUCUGAGAGGAUGGUCGGCCACACGGGCACUGAGACACGGGGCCCCGACUCCUACGGGAGGCAGCAGUAAGGAUAUUGGUCAAUGGUGGAAACACUGAACCAGCCAUGCCGCGUGGAGGAAUAAUGUCCUACGGAUUGUAAACUCCUUUUGACGAGGAAGAAAGUGUUAGAUUUAUCUAAUUUUGACGGUACUCGUAGAAUAAGCACCGGCUAACUCCGUGCCAGCAGCCGCGGUAAUACGGAGGGUGCAAGCGUUAUCCGGAUUUACUGGGUUUAAAGGGUCCGCAGGUGGGGAGGUAAGUCAGUGGUGAAAUACCCGGGCUCAACUUGGGUGCUGCCAUUGAUACUGCUUUUCUUGAGUGUAGAUGAGU